rnacentral:rRNA from 1 species
ACUGCACGAAGUCGGAAUUGCUAGUAAUCGCGGAUCAGCAUGCCGCGGUGAAUACGUUCCCGGGCCUUGUACACACCGCCCGUCACACCAUGAGAGUCGGGAACACCCGAAGUCCGUAGUCUAACCGCAAGGAGGACGCGGCCGAAGGUGGGCUUGAUAAUUGGGGUGAAGUCGUAACAAGGUAUC